rnacentral:rRNA from 1 species
CUACGGGCUGCAGCAGUGAGGAAUAUUGCACAAUGGAGGAAACUCUGAUGCAGCAACGCCGCGUGGAGGAUGACGCAUUUCGGUGUGUAAACUCCUUUUAUAUGUCAAGAAAAUGACGGUAGCAUAUGAAUAAGCACCGGCUAACUCCGUGCCAGCAGCCGCGGUAAUACGGAGGGUGCAAGCGUUACUCGGAAUCACUGGGCGUAAAGGACGCGUAGGCGGGUUGGAAAGUCAGGUGUGAAAUCCUACAGCUUAACUGUAGAACUGCACUUGAAACUUCUAAUCUAGAGUAUGGGAGGGGGAGAUGGAAUUAGUGGUGUAGGGGUAAAAUCCGUAGAUAUCACUAGGAAUACCUAAAGCGAAGGCGAUCUCCUGGAACAUUACUGACGCUAAGGCGUGAAAGCGUGGGGAGCAAACAGGAUUAGAUACCCCAGUAGUC